AAUCAACGCUGGCGGCGUGCCUCAGACAUGCAAGUCGAACGAUUAAAGCUCUCUUCGGAGAGUGUAUAGAGUGGCGCACGGGUGAGUAACACGUAAGUAAUCUACCUUCGAGUGGGGAAUACCGUCCGGAAACGGACGCUAAUACCGCAUAAUGCAGCGGCAUCGUAAGAUGACAGUUGUUAAAGAUUUUAUCGCUUGAAGAGGAGCUUGCGGCAGAUUAGCUAGUUGGUAAGGUAAUGGCUUACCAAGGCUACGAUCUGUAACCGGUCUUAGAGGACGGUCGGUCACACUGACACUGAAUAACGGGUCAGACUCCUACGGGAGGCAGCAGUCGGGAAUUUGGGCAAUGGGCGAAAGCCUGACCCAGCAACGCCGCGUGAAGGAUGAAGUAUUUCGGUAUGUAAACUUCGAAAGAA
rnacentral:rRNA from 1 species